rnacentral:rRNA from 1 species
UGAGGAAUAUUGGUCAAUGGGCGGGAGCCUGAACCAGCCAAGCCGCGUGAAGGAGGAAGGCGCCAGGCGUCGUAAACUUCUUUUGUCGGGGAACAAAGGGCGCCACGCGUGGCGUUGUGAGUGUACCCGAAGAAAAAGCAUCGGCUAACUCCGUGCCAGCAACCGCGGUAAUACGGAGGAUGCGAGCGUUAUCCGGAUUUAUUGGGUUUAAAGGGUGCGCAGGCGGUCUGUUAAGUCAGCGGUCGAAGCCCGGGGCUCAACCCCGGCCCGCCGUUGAAACUGGCAGUCUCGAGUUGGAGAGAAGUAUGCGGAAUGCGCGGUGUAGCGGUGAAAUGCAUAGAUAUCGCGCAGAACUCCGAUUGCGAAGGCAGCAUGCCGGCUCCACACUGACGCUGAGGCACGAAAGCGUGGGUAUCGAACAGG